GAGGAAGUAAAAGUCGUAACAAGGUUUCCGUAGGUGAACCUGCGGAAGGAUCAUUAAAGAGUAAGGGUGCUCAGCGCCCGACCUCCCAACCCUUUGUUGUUAAAACUACCUUGUUGCUUUGGCGGGACCGCUCGGUCUCGAGCCGCUGGGGAUUCGUCCCAGGCGAGCGCCCGCCAGAGUUAAACCAAACUCUUGUUAUUUAACCGGUCGUCUGAGUUAAAAUUUUGAAUAAAUCAAAACUUUCAACAACGGAUCUCUUGGUUCUCGCAUCGAUGAAGAACGCAGCGAAAUGCGAUAAGUAAUGUGAAUUGCAGAAUUCAGUGAAUCAUCGAAUCUUUGAACGCACAUUGCGCCCCUUGGUAUUCCGAGGGGCAUGCCUGUUCGAGCGUCAUUACACCACUCAAGCUAUGCUUGGUAUUGGGCGUCGUCCUUAGUUGGGCGCGCCUUAAAGACCUCGGCGAGGCCACUCCGGCUUUAGGCGUAGUAGAAUUUAUUCGAACGUCUGUCAAAGGAGAGGAACUCUGCCGACUGAAACCUUUAUUUUUCUAGGUUGACCUCGGAUCAGGUAGGGAUACCCGCUGAACUUAAGCAUAUCAAUAAGCGGAGG
rnacentral:rRNA from 1 species